CGACCGUAUUACGUUGAAAUACCGGUGCCCGUACGAUCACCGAAGUUAAGCAACGUUGAGAUUGAUCUGUACCUAGAUGAGUGAUCGAUUGGGAGUACCAGAUGAUGUAAG